AAAAAAAUUGGACACAUUUUUUUUACAAAUAUGUUAGAUAAUAUUGUAUUCACGUAUAAAUCGUGUCAAUGAUGGUUGUCUCAAGCGAUUCUUGUACGAGAAAAUCUGAUGACAGCUGAUUUUUUACUGAAUGCGUGUGGUCUCUGUUAAAUAAUUUUAGGUUAAAUAUGAGAAACCAAAAAUGUACAAGGCAUAUAAGGCAUUGCGCAACAUAAAGUCAAGUAUACUGUAAUAAAUGUAGUAAUGCAA